ensembl:lncRNA
GAGGGGGCUUAGAGAUGGCGGUUCAACCUGGUGGGCUCACCGCGGGGUGCUGCUGAGGCGUUCCACCAGCGCUGUGCUGUGCAGUGCUGCGAGCCGCAGCCAUCCUCAUCCCGCUGAAAGAACCCCCGUCAUAGAAUCACAGAAUGGUUGGGUUGGAAGGGACCUCAAGGAUCACGAAGCUCCAACCCCCUGCCUGCAGGCAGGGCCACAACCUCCACAUUAAUAGCAGCCCAGGCUGCCCAGGGCCCCAUCCAACCUGGCCUUGAACACCUCCAGGGAUGGACGGGGCAUCCACAGCCUCUCUGGGCAGCUGUUCAGCACCUCACCACUCUCAUAUGAUGCAAGAAUAUUAAAAGAACCACAACAAAACCACAGAGACCCAAGGAGAUGGAGCAGCCCGAGCUCCCCAGCUGUGAGGUCUCAACAGCACUGAGGAGGCAAACUCCAACCAGAGUUGUUCCAGGUGAAAACCUUUCCUCAGACGAGUGGUGCAAAACAUGGCACAGAUUGGAGCUGCUGGCUGUCAGAAAGGGAUUUGUCCUUUCCUGAUCACCUCCAAGUCCUUCAGCACAUCUGUUCCAGUUUGAAGCAGUCAUUCUUGGACACGGGGGAGCAGAGGCACACACAGUAAGUUCCUCACUGCCUUGGACAAUGCACUGAUUUUCUCUCUGCUGGCAGUACACAAACUGGACUUUCAGAAUUGUUUUUCCUUCCCCGUGGCUAAAUCACACUGACAGCUUAUAAUUACAGGAUAUGAUUAAUUAGUAUGUCAAGGUCCUGCUCAUCCCAUUAGUUCCAGUUCCUGUGCACCCACUCCUGGAGCAGCAGGUUGUGUUGUCGCCCCCAGACGCCUUUGUGUGCUGUUGGGUAUCACUUUGAGUUGCAGAUUACCAAUUUUGUCUGUGAGUGUUGCUGAGAUUUCCCAAAUCUGUGUUAUCAGUUCGUUUUCUUGGGAUGUUCCUGACUUUUGGUGCUGAUGUAACUGAUCAAAACCUUUCAGAUUCAUGGCUGGACUGAGAUGCGUCAGUGGGAUCUUCCAUCCAAACUGAUUUCCUGCUUUAGGCCUAUCUGUAUUAAGACCCUUUAAACCAGUUCUUUAUUUUAUAUUCAUCUUCAUAGAAUCAUAGAAUGGCCUGGGUUGAAAAGGACCACAAUGAUCAUCUGGUUUCAACCCCCUGCUAUGUGCAGGGUCACCAACCACCAGACCAGGCUGCCCAGAGCCGCAUCCAGCCUGGCCUUGAAAAGCUUCUCAAGCUUUGCUACCAGUUUUCCACAUAGUUUCCUGUACCAUUUGUAUUACUGAAGAUACACCUUACUUCUUCUGAGCAGAAAGCCACUUACACUGGAUUUGUCUGCACAAACCUUAGGCAAGAUUGUGUUGCUUUCUCUCCCAGUAGAUUUUACUUCAAAACUUCCAGAGCCUUGCACAGAGAAUCAUAGAAUCCUUAGAGUUGGAAGGGACCUCUGGAGGCCAUCCAGUCCAACUCCCCUGCAAUGAACAGGGACACCACAGCUAGGUCAGGUUGCCCAGGGCCUGGUCCAGCCUUGCCUUGAAAGACUCCAUGGAUGGGGCAUCAAGCACAAUAUUAGUUAUCCUGUUCCAGAACCUCUCCAUCCUCACUGUAAACGACUCUCUCCUUACAUCUAACCUUGUAAUAUUUCAGUGAGAAGCAGUCCCAGGCUUCCUACGUGCUCCCAGGCACCUCAGUCCCAUUGACUGCAUUGAGCCGUUAAGUGAUUCCAGUUUUAAGAACCGUGGUUCACUACUGUUCAUGGGGGUCCCUUAAAAAAAACAAAAGGUAAAUCACUGAAAAAUCAACAUUAGCAGCACUAACGGCCAUAAAAUCAUACGCCUUUUAUUUAACAUAAAAUGAGACAUUAAGAUAAAAUACACAGUUGCUCAUGUGCUGAAGAACUACGGUAUUUUACAUUCAUUUAUAAAGCAGGUAGUUUUACAUGACAAAAAGAAGUGAGAGGAAAAGGAACGGAAUCUGCAGUAAGACAGAAGCCACGGAGCAGGCUUUUGCUUGUCCAAGUGCUACCUCCUAUGGGCACAGAUCUUCAAGUGACAGGUUAGAAACUGGCCGUUCUUAGCACUCCUCUGAUCCCUCUUAAUGCUGCUGGGAAGCUAAGGUGGAGGCUUACACAGCAAAAUGAGUGACAACGUGUUGAGGAAACACCCUUGGCCAAGAGGCACAGCUGCAGCACGACGGACCACGUCUGUCCCUGCUGUCUUGCUCCUUUGCAGGAAUGGGCCUACACAGUCUUAAAUGCCUGCAGCUUACAUUACCAAAUCCCUUUGUUUUUUUACUCACUUGCCAGAUUUGUAACUGAAAUUUGACUUGUCAAGCAGACAGCAGUAGGGUGAGGGCUCACGGCUGCACAGAUUUAGGGCACAGGAAGGGAGCUACCAUCCGUCAGUGUGGGUGGCUGCUGGAGGCGUGUACCUUGCACACCUCCAGGCACACAAUAAAGGACUGUACCCAGAACCUCUGUCCCUGCUGCUCGAGACAAUGGGACAACACCUUCCACAUCGCAGCCGCAGGUGGGCUAAGAGGACAGCCCUGCCCUGAUGCCCUGCAGCAUCUGCUAACUGAACGGUACAGGAGACCGGCUGGUAAGGUUUAAAUCAGGGUAGGGAGGAACGGGAGAUGCAGCAGUACCAGGGGAGUAAGGAAUGUUGUUUGUCAAAGUGCAGCAGAUCGAAACACGUUACUAGUAUAUAUUUUGUCUACCCCAUGUAUCUUAAAUAUGAAAACAAAUAUAAAACAACCUUAAUUCCAUCUCACGUCUGUGGUGCUUCCCAAGGUGUAAUGUCACCACAAGGCCGAGGUGGAGCUGGUCUUGCAACUUACACGUGGCCAACGCAGCCGUGCACACCUAUACGGAUGCACACACAUCUGCACAGCCCCUAUAUGCACACCCACCAGUGGGGCUUCCUGAUAGUGCAACUGCUCAGAGGGGAAGCCCCACCAAUAUGCAGACAGCAAAUUUUGACUAAAUACUGGGUUCCAUCCUCUUGUUUUCAAGAGAUCCCAAUGACAACCGAUGUGGUAUAAAAACACCAGUUGCCCACCUUUUCAGUUCUCAGAUUUGUACUUUAAAACCUGACUUGUCAAUCAUUCUUCUUUUCCCACAUUGUUUCCUUCCCCAUAACUCCCAGUGACAGAGAUUUCUUUUAAUCACCUCCAGUUUACAUACAGGAGUUGCAGGAACAAGUGAGUAUAAAUGUCACUGGAGAUUCAUCUAACCCAAAUGGGCAUUGCAGAGGUGGGACAAGACAGGGAUGCUCUGGAGCCAUUUCUACCCUUAUCUCCAUAGCAAAUUUGCGUGCAGAACUGGGGCCAGCAGCUGUGUGGGCUGCAGAUCUCCAGCCUGCAAAACACACUGCAGUGCCCUGCUUGUCCCUGCCAUAGGGGAUGCCCCAUAGAAUGAUAUCAUAGAAUCAUAGAAUGGCCUGGGUUGAAAAGGACCACAGUCAUCAUCUGGUUUCAACCCCCUGCUAUGUGCAGGGUCGCCAACCAGCAGACCAGGCCGCCCAGAGCCACAUCCAGCCUGGGUGGAUGUAUCCAUAGGGCAGUACUGUGGCCUCUCCCAUCCAGGGACAUCUUGAGGAUCCCAUUCCAAUGCAGCCAAAUGGAUUCAUUCCGCUCCCAAUAGCUGCAAGGAUGUAUCAUCCCCUACAGCGAGACUUUCACCCCAAUUCCUACAAACAGCAAGACCAAUCUGCUUUGACACUGCUCCCUUGAAAUCAUUGGACUUUUGGUAUGUUGUUUGAAUUCUCCAUCAGCACCCUAAGGUGCUCACACAAGAAAUGGAGCUACUGAUCGCCAUUCCAAUGGCACAGCAAAACCGAGUCACUUCGGAUUCUCUUUUGGUUGAGCAGCUUCUGUGCCAGUGCGUCUCUUUGGCUAUGAAGGUAGCAUUGCUUAUGGAAAGGAUCCACCUCAACUCGUCUCCUCACCGUGGGUUCUGCUGGGUGGCAAAAGGAACGGAUACCAAUGGAACACAACAGGACGCAGGACUGAAAAGGUUCUGUACGCUCCAUCUGAAGCUGCAAAACUCUUCCAGAUUCCUUCUGUGCUGAACUCCUGCUUUCCCUGCAGCCUCCCUCCUCGUGUCCUCCCUCCCUCUUUUCUUUUUUUCCCCUUUUAACAUUAUUACAUGCUCAAAUCCAACCAGCUCAAAUACUUUUUAAUACACUGAAAAUGUAAAAUAAAGAAUAUAUGAAGUACAUACAG